rnacentral:rRNA from 1 species
CAAGAGCGUAUAUUAAAGUUGUUGCAGUUAAAAGCUCGUAGUUGGAUUUCUGGUACAACGCGCCUGGCCCGCUUACGUGAGUGCCGGUGCGCGUUUGCCAUCCUUCUAGAAAACGUCUCUACUCGGGCAACUGAGCCGGAUUCGCGAUCUAGAUCUUUUACUUUGAAAAAUUAGAGUGUUUAAAGCAGGCUAUUGCCUUGAAUACAUUAGCAUGGAAUAAUAAUCUAGGACGUUCGGUUCCGUUAUUUUGUUUGGUUUUCGUUAGUUACUUGAAGUAAAUAGAUUGUAUAGGGAGUAGUUGGGGGUUGGGCGUAGUAUUGUACCGG